rnacentral:rRNA from 1 species
GGCUCAGGAUGAACGCUGGCGGCGUGCCUAACACAUGCAAGUCGAACGAAGAGGCCUCUUCGGAGGUACUUCAGUGGCGGACGGGUGAGUAACACGUAGGUGACCUACCCCGAAGUGGGGAAUAACAGUCCGAAAGGAUUGCUAAUACCCCAUGUGAUCGAUGAGGUUAGAGUCUUGUCGAUUAAAGCAGUAAUGUGCUUCGGGAGGGGCCUGCGCCCCAUCAGCUAGUUGGUAGGGUAAUGGCCUACCAAGGCUACAACGGGUAGGGGGCCUGAGAGGGUGACCCCCCACAUUGGCACUGACACACGGGCCAAACUCCUACGGGAGGCAGCAGUGAGGAAUAUUGCUCAAUGGGCGAAAGCCUGAAGCAGCAACGCCGCGUGCGCGAUGAAGGCCUUCGGGUCGUAAAGCGCUUUUGAGAGGGACGAGAUACGACGGUACCUCUUGAAUAAGUCACGGCUAACUACGUGCCAGCAGCCGCGGUAAAACGUAGGUGGCAAGCGUUAUCCGGAUUCACUGGGCGUAAAGCGCGUGCAGGUGGCUCUGUAAGUUGGAUGUUAAAUCUUCCGGCCUAACCGGGAGCGGUCAUUCAAUACUGCGGGGCUUGAGGGCAGAAGAGGGGGGUGGAAUUGCCGGUGUAGUGGUGAAAUGCGUAGAUAUCGGCAGGAACACCUGUGGCGAAAGCGGCCCCCUGGUCUGCUCCUGACACUCAGACGCGAAAGCCAGGGUAGUGAACGGGAUUAGAAACCCCGGUAAUCCUGGCCGUAAACGAUGGAUGCUAGGUGUAGGUGGUAUUGACCCCAUCUGUGCCGAAGCUAACGCGUUAAGCAUCCCGCCUGGGGACUACGGCCGCAAGGUAAAACUCAA